rnacentral:rRNA from 1 species
AUGGCCACCACAACCUUAUCCCUCCACGGCCUCCCGUCCCCGACCGCCAAGAAGCUCACCUCGUCCUUCCUCGGCGCCCCCUCCUCCUUCCUCCGCCCGGCGGCGCUCGCGGCCGCGGCCACGCCCUCGCGGAGGGUGUUCGCCGUCAGGGCCAUGGCGCCCCCCAAGCCCGGGGCCAAGCCCAAGAAAGUGGUUGGCAUCAUAAAGCUGGCCCUGGAGGCGGGCAAGGCGACGCCGGCGCCGCCCGUCGGCCCCGCGCUCGGUGCCAAGGGUGUCAACAUCAUGGCCUUCUGCAAGGAUUACAAUGCCAAGACGGCCGACAAGCCCGGCUACAUCAUCCCCGUCGAGAUCACCGUGUUCGAUGAUAAGAGCUUCACCUUUAUCUUGAAGACACCCCCUGCAUCAGUGCUGCUCCUCAAGGCUGCAGGUGUUGAGAAGGGCUCAAAGGAGCCACAGCGCGAGAAGGUUGGAAAGGUGACAGUGGACCAAGUACGCACAAUCGCCCAGGAGAAGCUGCCUGACUUGAACUGCAAAACCAUCGAGUCCGCCAUGAGAAUCAUAGCGGGCACUGCCGCUAACAUGGGCAUCGAUGUUGACCCGCCGAUCCUCGUGAAGAAGGAGAAGGUGGUCUUCUAG